rnacentral:rRNA from 1 species
UACGUAGGGUGCAAGCGUUAAUCGGAAUUACUGGGCGUAAAGGGCGCGUAGGCGGCCUUCUAAGUCGAACGUGAAAUCCCCGGGCUCAACCCGGGAACUGCGUCCGAUACUGGAAGGCUUGAAUCCGGGAGAGGGAUGCGGAAUUCCAGGUGUAGCGGUGAAAUGCGUAGAUAUCUGGAGGAACACCGGUGGCGAAGGCGGCAUCCUAGACCGGCAUUGACGCUGAGGCGCGAAAGCCAGGGGAGCAAACGGG